CACUUACUACUUGGAUAACCGUGGUAAUUCUAGAGCUAAUACAUGCGUACAUAACCUCGACUUCUGGAAGAGGUGCACUUAUUAGAUAAAAAGCCAACGCGGGCAACCGCUUGUAUGGCGAUUCAUAAUAAUUAAUCGAAUCGCAUGGCCUUGUGCCGGCGAUGAUGCAUUCAAAUUUCUGCCCUAUCAAGUUUCGAUGGUAGGUUAGUGGCCUACCAUGCUUUUAACGGGUAACGGGGAAUUAGGGUUCGAUUCCGGAGAGGGAGCCUGAGAAACGGCUACCACAUCCAAGGAAGGCAGCAGGCGCGCAAAUUACCCAAUCCCGACACGGGGAGGUAGUGACAAUAAAUAACAAUACAGGGCCUUUACGGGUCUUGUAAUUGGAAUGAGUACAAUUUAAAUCCCUUAACGAGGAACAAUUGGAGGGCAAGUCUGGUGCCAGCAGCCGCGGUAAUUCCAGCUCCAAUAGCGUAUAUUAAAGUUGUUGCAGUUAAAAAGCUCGUAGUUGAAUUUUGGCCUUGGUUUGUGAGGUUCGGCCUUCACUGGUCGGUACCUUUACGAACCGGGCUCCACCUUCUGGGUUAGCCAGUUGUUACUUCGGUGCAGCUGGUGAACCAGAACUUUUACUUUGAAAAAAUUGGAGUGUUUAAAGCAGGCUUUCAAGCUUGAACAUAUUAGCAUGGAAUAAUGAAAUAGGACUUUGGCCUUAUUUCGUUGGUUUCUAAAGCCAAGGUAAUGAUGAAUAGGGAUAGUUGGGGACAUUAGUAUUCAAUUGUCAGAGGUGAAAUUCUUGGAUUUAU
rnacentral:rRNA from 1 species